GGGAAAAUAGACAUCCCACAUUUGCUACCUGGGGCCCAAUAAGUCUGCAUUAGUCUGUGCUCGUGCUGCUAAUAAAAACAUACCGGAGACUGGGUAAUUUAUAAAGAAAAAGAGGUUUAAUGGACUCACAGUUCCACGUGGCUGGGGAAGCCUCACAAUCAUGGUGGAAGGUGAAAGGCAUGUCUUACAUGGUGGAAGGUGAGAGAGAACUUGUGCAAGGGAACUCCCCUUUAUAAAACCAUCAGAUCUUGUGAGACUUAUUCACUAUCAUGAGAACAAUAUGGAAAAGUCCUGGCCCCAUGAUUCAAUUACCUCCCACUGGGUCCCUCCCAUGACACGUGGGAAUUAUGGGAGCUACAAUUCAAGAUGAGACUUGGGUGGGGACACAGCCAAACCAUAUCAUUUUGCUGUAGCCCCUCCCAAAUCUCAUGUCCUCACAUUUCAAAACCUAUCAUGCCUUCCCAACAGUCUCCCAAAGUCUUAUUUCAGCAUUAACUCAAAAGUCUACAGUCCAAAGUCUCAUCUGAGACAAGGCAAGUCCCUUCCGCCUACCAGCCUGUACAAUCAAAAGCAAGUUAGGGUCGGGCAUGGUGGCUCAUGCCUGUGAUCCCAGCACUUUGGGAGGCCAAGGCAGGCAGAUCAUCUGAGUUCGGGAGUUUGAGACCAGUCUGGCCAACAUAGUGAAACCCCAUCUCUACUAAAAAUACAAAAAAAUUAGCCGGGCGUGGUGGCACAUGCCUGUAAUCCCAGCUACUCGAGAGGCCGAAGCAGGAGAAUCGCUUGAACCCAGGAGGCAGAGGUUGCAGUGAGCCAAGAUCAUGGCACUGCACUCCAGCCUGGGUGACAGAGUGAGACUCUGUCUCAAAAAGAAAAAAAAAAAAGCAAGUUUGUUAAUUCCUAGAUACAAUGAGGGUACAGGCAUUGAGUAAAUACAGCUGUUCAAAAUGGGAGAAAUUGGCCAAAACAAAGGGGUUACAGAUCUCCUAUGCAAGUCUGAAGUCCAGUGGAGCAGUCAAAUCUUUUUUUUUUUUUUUUUUUUUUUGAGAUGGAGUCUUGCUCUGUCACCCAGGCUGGAGUGCAGUGGCAUGAUCUUGGCUCACUGCAACCUCCACCUCCCGGGUUCAAGCAAUUCUUCUGCCUCAGCCUCCUGAGUAGCUGGGAUUACAGGCACAUGCCACAAUGCCUGGCUAAUUUUUUUUGUAUUUUUAGUAGAGACGGAGUUUCACCAUGUUGGCCAGGCUGGUCUUGAACUCCUGAACUCAAGCGAUCCUCCCACCUUGGCCUCCCAAAGUGCUGGAAUUACAGGAGUGAGCCGACAUGCCUGGCAGCAGUCAAAUCUUAAAGCCCCAAAAUGAUUUCCUUUGACUCCAUGUCUCAUGUCCAGGUCACACUGAUGCAAGAGGUGGGCUCCCAUGGCCUUGGCAGCUCUGCCCCUGUGGCUUUGCAGGGUAUAGCCCCCCCUCCCAGCUGCUUUCACAGGCAGGCCUUGAGUGUCUGUGGCUUUUCCAGGAGCAAGGUGCAAGCUGUCAGUGGAGCUACCAUUCUGGGGUCUGGAGGACAGUGACUCUUUUCUUGCAGCUCCACUAGGCACUGCCCCAGUUGGGAGUCUGUGUGAGGGCUUGCACCCCACAAUUUCCCUUUGCACUGCCCUAGCAGUGGUUCUCCAUGAGGGCUCCACCCCUGCAGCCCACCUCUACCUGGACAUCCAGGCAUUUCUACACAUCCUCUGAAAUCUUGGCAGAGGUUCCCAAGCCUCAAUUCUUGACUUCUGUGCACUCGCAGGCACAACACCACAUGAAAGCUGCCAAGGCCUAGGGUUUGCACCCUCUGAAGCCACAGCCUGAGCUGCACCUUGGCCCCUUUUAGCUGUGGCUGGAGCAGCUGGGAUACAAGGCACCAAGUCCCCAGGCUGCACAGAGCAGGGGGGCCCUGGGCACAGCCCAUGAAACCAUUUUUUCCUACUAGGCCUCCAAGCCUGUGAUGGGAGGGUCUGCCACAUGAAGGUCUCUGACAUACCCUGGAGACAUUUCCCCCCACUGUCUUCAUGAUUAACAUUUGGCUUCUCGUUACUUAUGCAAAUUUCUGAGGCCAGCUUGAAUUUCUCCUCUGAAUUUUUUUUUUUUUUUUUUUUUUUUUGAGAUGGAGUCUUGAUCUGUUGCCAGGCUGGAGUGCACUGGCACAAUCUCGGCUCAUUGCAACCUCCGCCUCCCGGGUUCAAGCGAUUCUCCUGCCUCAGCCUCCCGAGUAGCUGGGACUACAGGUGUGUGCCACCAUGCCCAGCUAAUUUUUGUAUUUUCAGUAGAGACCGAGUUUCACCAGGUUGGCCAGGAUGGUCUCAAUCUCUUGACUUCAUGAUCUGCCCACUUCAGCCUCUCAAAGUACUAGGAUUACGGGCAUCAGGCACUGCACCCGGCCUGGGUUUUUCUUUUCUACCGCAUUGUCAGGCUGCAAAUUUUUUGAAAUUGUAUGCUCAUUUUAACUUUUUUUUUUUUUUUUAAUGGAGUCUUGCUCUGUCACCCAGGCCAGAGUGCAGUGGCGUGAUCUUGGCUCAUUGCAACCUCUGCCUCCUGGGUUUAAGCAGUUCUCUGCCUCAGCCUCCCAAGUAGUGGGGAUUACAGGAGCCCACCACAACACCCUGCUAAUUUUUGUAUUUUUAGUAGAGAUGGGGUUUCACUAUAUUGGCCAGGCUGGUCUUGAACUACUGACCUUGUGAUCUGCUCAACUCAGCCUCCCAAAGGGCUGGGACUACAGGCAUGAGCCACUGCUCCUGGUCUGUUUCACUUUUACAACUGAAUGCUGGCCAGAUGUGGUGGCUCAUCCCUGUAAUCCCAGCACUUUGGGAGGCCUAGGCAGGCAGAUCACGAGGUCAAGAGUUUGAGACAAGCCUGCCAAUAUGGUGAAACCCCAUCUCUACUAAAAAUACAAAAAUUAGCCUGGCGUGGUGGUGGGCGCCUGUGGUCCCAGCUACUCGGGAGGCUGAGGCAGGAGAAUUGUUUGAACCCAGGAUGUGAAGGUUGCAGUGAGCCGAGAUCACGCCACUGCAGUCAGUCCAGCCUGGGCGACAGAGCGAGACUCCGUCUCAAAAAAAAAAAAAAAAUAAGAACAGAAUGCUACUGGGCACAAUGGCUCAUGCCUGUAAUCCCACCACUUUGGGAGACUGAGGUGGGCAGAUCAAUUCACAUCAGGAGUUUGAGACCAGCCUGGCAAACAUGGUGAAACCCUAUCUCUAAUAAAAAUACAAAAAUUGGCUGGGUGUGGUGGCAGGCACAUGUAAUCACAGCUACUCAGGAGACUGAGGCACGAGAAUCACUUGAUUCUCUGCGGGCAGAGGUUGCAGUGAGCCGAGAUCUUGCCACUGCAUGCCAGCCUGGGCAACAGAGACUAUCUCAAAAAAACAAAAAUAGCAAAAACAACAACAAAUCCUGGAUGCUUUUAACAGCACCAAAGUCACCUCUUGAAUGUUUGCUGCUUAGAAAUUCUGUAACCGCCAGGCGUGGUGGCUCACGCCUAUAAUCCCAACAUGUUGGGAGGCCGAGGCAGGAGGAUCACCUGAGGUCAGGAGUUUGAGACCAGCCGGAUCAACAUGGAGAAACCUGGUCUCUACUAAAAAUACAAAAUUAGCCAAGUGUGGUGGCACAUGCCUGUAAUCCCAGCUGCUCAGGAGGCUGAGGCAGGAGAAUCGCCUGAACCCAGGAGGCGGAGGUUGCAGUGAGCCGAGAUCGCGCCAUUCGACUCCAACACGCGAAUCAAGAGCAAAACUCCGACACAAAAAAAAAAAAAGAAAAGAAAAGAAAAAGACAAGAAAAAGAGAGAGAGAUGUUGGAAAGAAAAGCCUCACAGAAGGCAGGGCACGGUGACUCAAGCCUGUAAUCCGAGAACUUUGGGAGGCUGAGGGGGGCGGAUGACGAGGUCAGGAGAUGGAGACCAUCCUGGCUAACAGGAUGAGACCGCCGUCUCUACUAAAAAUAGGAAAAAUUUGCUGGGCGUGGUGGCCUACGCCUGUAAUCCCAGCUACCCAGGAGGCUGAGGCAGGAGAAUCGCUGGAACCCGGGAGGUAGAGGCUGCAGUGAGCCGAGAUCGCGCCACUGCACUCCAGCCUGGGCGACAGAGCAAGAGUUUGUCUGUAAAAAAAAAAAAAAAAAAAAAAAAAAAAAAAGCCAGGGUGAGCGGUGGCUUAAGCCUGUAAUCGCAAGCAACACUUUGGGAGGCGGCGGCUCGGCAGAUCACCGGAGGUCGGGAGUUGGAGACCAGCCUGACCAACGUGGAGAAACCCCAUCUGUACUAAAAAUACAAACUUAGCCGGGCGUGGUGGCACAUGCCUGUAGUCCCAGCUGCUCGGGAGGCUGAGGCAGGGGAAUUGCUUGAACCCGGGAGGCGGAGGUUGCAGAGAGCCUAGAUCGCGCCAUUGGACUCCAGGCUGGGUAACAAGAGCGGAACCUCCGUCUGAAAAAAAAAAAAAAAAAAAAAAAAAAUUGGGAGAAUUUUGCUCCCACUGCCGUCAAAAUCCCAUGUGUAUUUCACACUUAACAGCGCAGCUCCAUUAGAACUGACCACAUUUCCAGGGCUCCCUAGAUACCUGUGGCUAGCGGCUGCCAUACUACACCGUGCUGGGCUGUAGAAUGGGGAUGACAAGACAGGGCGGCGGAGAUUGUGUUGGCGUGAAGCGAGGGAAACACUCGGCCGCAGGACAAAACUAAAACAGCAAGGGGGCACCGAAAGACUCAGUAGUCCACGUGAAUAUCCUGAUUAUGUUGUAGCUGAGAUAAUGUAGGGUCCACCCCUACCGGGUCUGUGGGUUUUCUCUUCGCGUGUGUGCGGAGACGAGAGAUCGAAGAGAUAAAGACAGAAGACAAAGAGAUAGGAAGAAAGACAGCUGGGCCCGGGGGACCACUGCCACCAAAGCGCGGAGACAGACAGGUAGUGGCCCCGAGUGCCUGGAGGCGCUGCUAUUUAUUGUAGUCAAGGCAAGGGGGCAGGGUAAGGAGUGCCAGUCAUCUCCAAUGAUCGAUAGGUCACGCGAGUCACGUGUCCACUGGACAGGGGGCCUUUCCCUUUGUGGUAGCCGAGGUGGAGAGGGAGGACAGCAAACGUCAGCGUUUCUUCUAUGCACUUAUCAGAAAGAUCGAAGACUGUGGUACUCCUACUAGUUCUGCUACUGCUGUCUUCUAAGAACUUAAAAGGAGGAGCCAGGUGUACAGGCUGAACAUGAAAGUGAACAAGGAGCGUGACCACUGAAGCACAGCAUCACAGGGAGACAGACGUUGGAGCCUCCGGAUGACUGCGGGCCGGCCUGGCUAAUGUCAGACCUCCCACAAGAGGUGGUGGAGCGGAGCGUUCUCUGUCUCCCCUGGAGAGAGGGAGAUUCCCUUUCCGGGUCUGCUAAGUAACGGGUGCCUUCCCAGGCACUGGGGCCACCGCUAGACCAAGGCCUGCUAAGUAACCAGGGCCUUCCCAGGCACUGGCAUUACCGCUAGACCAAAGUGUUCUAAAUAACAGGUGCCUUCCGAGGAAGAGGCACUACCACAAGACCAUGGAGCCCUCAAGCAGCCGUUAUCCGGGCAUGACAGAGGGCUCAUACUCUUGUCUUCUGGUUACCUCUCACAUUGUCCCCUCUACUUCUUACUCUGUAUGGCCUGUUUUUUCCUCGGUUAUAAUAACAAAGAUUAAUACUAAAAACUAAUAAUUGAUAAUAUCCAUAUGUAAUCAUCUCUGUAUCCUAUGUCUGAUAUAACU
rnacentral:lncRNA from 1 species